rnacentral:rRNA from 1 species
AGUGAACGCUGGCGGCGUGCUUAACACAUGCAAGUCGAACGAGAACGGGUUAUAGCUUGCUAUAAUUGUCAGCUAAGUGGCGCACGGGUGAGUAAUGUAUAGGUAAUAUGCCUCUUACUAAGGGAUAACAAAUGGAAACGUUUGCUAAUACCUUAUACUCCUUAUUAACAUAAGUUAAUAAGGGAAAGAUUUAUUGGUAAGAGAUUAGCCUGUAUUGUAUCAGUUAGUUGGUGGGGUAAUGGCUUACCAAGACUAUGACACAUAACUGGUUUGAGAGGAUGAACAGUCACACUGGAACUGAGACACGGUCCAGACUCCUACGGGAGGCAGCAGUGGGAAAUAUUGCACAAUGGACGAAAGUCUGAUGCAGCAACGCCGCGUGGAGGAUGACACAUUUCGGUGCGUAAACUCCUUUUAUAUGAGAAGAUAAUGACGGUAUUAUAUGAAUAAGCACCGGCUAACUCCGUGCCAGCAGCCGCGGUAACAC